AACACUCAACACUGUAAGUCACUCUGGAUAAGAGUGUCUGCUAAAUUAUUCAAA
rfam:Salmo salar isolate Sally breed double haploid chromosome ssa04, whole genome shotgun sequence.